UUCAGGUUGAUCCUGCCGGACCUGCCUGCUAUCUGGAUUGGUACUAAGCCAUGCGAGCCGUUGUAGCAAUACAAGGCGGACUGCUCAGUAACACGUAGUUAACUUAACCUAUGGAUGGGCAUAACCUCGGGAAACUGAGAAUAAUACCCAAUGGACCACAGUGCCUGGAAUGGCCUGUGGUUGAAAUGAUUUAUCGCCGUAGAAUAGGACUGCGGCCUAUCAGCUUGUUGGUGAGGUAAUGGCCCACCAAGGCUAUAACAGGUACGGGCUCUGAGAGGAGGGGCCCGGAGAUGGGUACUGAGACACGGACCCAGGCCCUAUGGGGCGCAGCAGGCGAGAAACCUUUGCAAUGUGCGAAAGCACGACAAGGUUAAUCCGAGUGUCUCCUGCUAAAGGAGUCUUUUGUCAGUUGUAGAAUCACUGGUGAAUAAGGGGUGGGCAAGUUCUGGUGUCAGCCGCCGCGGUAAAACCAGCACCUCGAGUGGUCAGGAGGUUUAUUGGGCCUAAAGCAUCCGUAGCCGGUUGCAUAAGUUUUCGGUUAAAUCUAUGCGCUUAACGUAUAGGCCGCCGAAAAUACUGUGCAGCUAGGGCGUG
rnacentral:rRNA from 1 species